rnacentral:lncRNA from 1 species
AAUGUGUCUGGGACCGCAAGUCUUCAAAGCCUAUGAUUUAAGGUCCAAGAGGUAAAAGCAGUCACAGUCUUCGCCACCUGGAUGAAAAAUUACAGCUUAACUUGCUCCUGUUUCUUCUUCAGUGGGAAACAGAAGACAGGGAAGAAAGCAGAGGAUGGAGGAAGGCAGUAGUUUGCCUCAGGCGAAAGAGAAGGUGGGAGCCCAGGAAGACCUUCGCUGUCUCAGCUCCAGUCAUGUGGUGGUCAUGAGCUGCCUCCCUCCCUUGAAUUUUCUAACAGCAGUUUACCAUGGCUCUGCAGGCUGACUGCCUGUGCUUCUGUGAGGGAGAAGAGCUGGAAGAUCUAUCACUUUAAUGAUUACUUAAUGGGAAAAGACUACUUAAGUUCUGGGACACUGUUCACAGAAUUAUCUGUGCUGCUUGUGAAGCUACAGACUGAACCUGAGCUGCUGUGCGGAGUGGGAGCCCUUGACAACUCCUCAACAGGCAAAGGAGCUGGGAAGUCAAGUGUUGUGUGGGACACCGAUAGCAAUAAUAUUGCAAUGCUUUUGUUCUGUGGAAGAGACAAAAUUGAAGGAGCACAUCUGCAGGCCUUGCAUCCUGUUGCACUACUUAUUUAUCUGGCUGGCAACACAGAAUUAUUCAGGGAUUUAAUUAAUGUUUUGAAAUCAUUUUGAGGGAGUUGCCAGAAGAUCCAAGAAAAUCUGGUAAUUUCCUGUUUAAAAACUUCAUAGGCUGUGGAGUGUAAAACCAUUUGAGAGAAGAAAGAAAACCUGUAAAUAGUUA